rnacentral:rRNA from 1 species
CACAAUAACAAUAAUAAUAAAAAAUUUCUCUGAUCUCAGAAGCUAAGCAGGUUCAGGCCUGGUUAGUACUUGGAUGGAAGACCAUCUAGGAAUCCAGGUGCUGUAGGCA